rnacentral:rRNA from 1 species
AGUGAACGCUGGCGGUAGGCCUACCCCUUCCAGUUGAACGGCAGCACCGUUAGAGCUUGCUCUUACGGGUGGCGAGUGGCGGACGGGUGAGGAAUACAUCGGAAUCCUCUUUUUUGGGGGGGCUUACGUAGGGAAACUUACGCUAAUAACACAUACGACCUACGGGUGAAAGCCGGUGAUCUUCGGACCUUGCUCGGUUUGAUGAGCCGAUGUCGGAUUAGCUAGGUGGCGGGGUAAAGGCCCACCAAGGCGACGAUCCGUAGCUGGUCUGAGAGGAUGAUCGGCCACACUGGAACUGAGACACGGUCCAGACUCCUACGGGAGGCAGCAGUGGGGAAUAUUGGACAAUGGGCGCAAGCCUGAUCCAGCCAUACCGCGUGGGUGAAGAAGGCCUUCGGGUUGUAAAGCCCUUUUGUUGGGAAAGAAAAGCAGCAGGUUAAUACCCCGCUGUUCUGACGGUACCCAAAGAAUAAGCACCGGCUAACUUCGUG